GGCAUGCCCCAACAUACUAGAUUUGCUCAUGUAACUUCAAACCUAGGGAUGGAAAGACCCACAAAUAAAGAUGAGAAGGGACAAACAGGAGAAACUGCUAGGGGAAGCGGGUGACUCCCGGGCGCCAUCCAAUGGGACCAGUUCCAUCUGGGCAGGCCAUCCAGAAGCUGUCAUCUCUCAGGGAUAAUGAAGGCCAGCCGCAGCACCUUACAAGGCCAUCCAGGCAGCCAGCCGCUGGAAUCCCAGGGAUUACACAGCCUCUGGAGGGCUUGGAACAGGCUCGGGUCACCUGCUGCAGACACAAGUGUGUGCCUGGGCUGCUUCUGUCUUGUGACUGAGGAAUUUUGAAAUGGCAGUGCUGAGCUCACAAAGAAGAAAAUGUCUCCUUGAUGUCACACAGUUCGCUGCCAAACCAUCCAAGGAGCUGGGAGUGCGGACAUACAUGUCAAGUGAGUGUUCCACUACCCAGCAAAAUCUCCAGCCCCCGGUAAUGUAUUUCUUGUUGUUGUUGGGUUGUUUUUUUUUUCCUUUUUUAUUUUCAUUUUUUCCUUUGAUAAAUUUCUUGGGUUUCAGCUACCUGGAAAUUAUCAAUGACUGCACGUGCCCAGCUCUUCUGGACCCUCUGAUGUUCUGUCACAUGGGAGCAAAUGGAGAGCUGGGACAUCCUUUGACCUCAGCCCUCAAAGGUUAGGAAGCGGGCCCCUCCUCCCUCCAAGAAUUCCUUUUCUCCAAGGGUGAUUAACUACCUCAGCCAUCCUUCCAGGAGGGCCAAAAAAGCUGUUUUGAAUCUGUACCGGCUCAGAAUAAUCAGUUCCUGGUAUUUCCGGCUUUGUGUGAAGCAGGAUUUCCUGUUUCAAGGCGGGCUGGCUCCCCUGUCCUGAUAUUAGGGAGUCUAUGUAAUAGAUUACUAAUCCAUACUGUUUUUGUUUUUCUAUUCAGGAUAAUUAACUUCUUGCUCAAUCCCUCAGCAUUUGACCAAAAUACCAAGAUAAAAAUGUAGGCCCGUGUUAGUACAAAAGGUCCUGCAUUCAACUGUCCUCCUUAUAUUGCCCAAGAAGUCUUGUGGAAUUCCAAGAAGAAUUCAAGGGGCCAGACCUGGAAUAUGCAUCAAUGAGAAUAAGACACUGACGAAGCUAACGACACUAACGGGGAAUGAGGAUAAUCGACUCCUGUCCUUUGUUUUACUCUUUAACCUAGUAAUAAAUCCCUUUAAAGGCC
rnacentral:lncRNA from 1 species